CGUCAUCACUGCUACGUCUACUUUGUGCUUACAUGCUGAGGCAGCUUGUGAGGAGAGAAUGGAAAGGAAGAGAAAAGAAGCUAUCAUGAACAGCCACAGUACACUGAAGUACUCUAAAAAAGUCCAGGCUGGACUAAAAGCUCAGUUUCAGAAGACCAAAACCUCGACUGCACAUGACCAGAAACGACACAACCUACUGGUGCUUCCUCUACAAGAAAGUGUGUGAUAAUUAAAAGACAGACUUAGAGUGUGACUGAAGGAUCAGAUUCAAUACAAAAUGGAUGUAAAACCACAAAAAAUGUUGAGGAAUAUUUCCUUAUGCUCUGCAACAAAUAAGUAUCACAAAGAUAUGAUAUAAAUAAGGGGAACAUAUUGGCUGAGGUCACCACUGACCACUCUCUGCACCAGUCAUAAUACCAUGCAACAUAAUAACAGCUCUGUAGAGGACUGGUGACUGCUCCAGGGUGCAUCCUGCCUCAUACCCAAUGACUGCUGGAGAUAGGCGACCUGCAACAAGAAGGGGGAACAGACAAUGGAUGGAUGGAUGUUAUUUUUCCAGAGUAGACUUCAAUGGAUUUUAAAAACUAAUCAUUUUAUAUUAUAUUUAAUGAUUUUAUAUUUUCUAUCAUCCCAACAUAAUCAAAAUUACAUAAACAGAACAAAAACAGACAAAAAUAUGUACACAUAAUCAAAAUUACACAUAUAUAAUAAUAUAUACAUGCACCCCAUUAAUAUUUUUUAACUGUCAUUUAUUGAGCUGAACAAUGCCAACAAGCUUGCGGCAUUAUUCUUGAUAUGUGACAACUCUUUUUUUCUGAGGAAUUUAUAAUUUUUUUGAUGUUCAUUUAAAUUUGUCUGUUGUUGACAAGGAUUAGUUUUUAUGCAUAUUCUAAACAUUUUCAAUCGCAUUUGUGAUCUUUGUAAAUGCAACAUUGCAUGCAAAAUAAUCUGAGAAGUAUCCCAAAUGAUUUGGAGGAGACAUCUUGUUUCAUGGGGCUUCAUGCUCUACGAAAAAAAACGUGCUGCCAUUGUACAUUAGUUUAUUUACUCUUAACACAUUUCACAAUGCAAUGCAAACCUGGCUAUGUAAAGGCUUUUGAAUCAAGCUCGCAGCAUACACCUAGUAGCUGUGUUUACUCACGCUCACAUCAUAAUUGAACUGCUGAGUUUGUUUGGAACUGUACUGGAACCAUUUGGAGGAGAGGGUCUCUGUAGGUGCUGUUUUGGUCCCCAUCCUAGUGCAUUCAGGAGAGACAAGGGGGUAAGUGUCAGAGCCUUAAGGAACAAAAAACACAAGAUAAUAGCCUGAUUACUAUUCGUGAACAAUCUCCUGUCUGCCUCAGAGGACCAGCUCCUGUUUAAGCUCCUUCUAAUGAACCUUGAUGACCUGAGGAUGACCUGCUAUAUUUUCCUUUUGUGUAUGAAAGCAUAAAAUGGACAUAAUUUUAUUAUUUUUGGCUUGCAUUGCUACUAGCCGCCAGCAUUAUAACAAUUAACAGAUUCCACUGGUUUAUUCAGCUCAGAUGUAACAUCAUUCCAGGUUUCGAACUCUGACUUCCCAGACAAUUGAAACACAAUGUUAAACUAAUUUUACUUUGGACAGCAACAGUAGUGUUCCUCUUGAACCUGAGUGGUUCCUAGGUUAUCCAUGAACGUCCAAUUUCCUUUCAUCUCAGGUUGACAGUUGUUGUCUUAUUCCAUACAUGGCAAUGUGAUAAAACAUCUGAAUACCUUGCAGAUGUACUUAGAAAUAUUAUAGUAAAAUAAUGUGCCACUAUGGUUUAGUUUUCCAUUGCUUUGUUGUCAUUUAAUGUUUGCAAUAUAAAAUGUGCAACUAGCAGCAGUUACAGAAUGUUGACCACAAAUUAAAUAUUGCUUGUAAACGCCAAAAUAAUAAUGAAGCAAAAUUGCUGGCAGUCACAAAACCAAAUAGAUCAAACUUUUUAAUCAAAGUUUGCUAUGAUAAGUGAAAGGUAUUUGUUAUUAUAAAUGACUUGUUUAAAAGGAUGUUAAACUUUCUGCAAAUCUAUCUCUAGAUCAUAAUUGUUACAGAUUCAUAAAUUUACCAGAAAAUGAAACUAUCACAAUUUUCUGGUCAAAUGAUAAAAAAAAAAAAAAGUUUUAACAUACAUCUGAGGAAAAUCCCUCUGCAGUUAAUGCAAGAAACUAUUGAACUGAGUUUCAUCUUACUGGAACCUCAUUUAGCUAAGAAUAUCCCACAUAAGUAAUCAGGUGCACAGUUUUUUAAUAUGGAGCAUAUGGGCAGUUGCCCAGGGCAGCAUCAGAAAGAGGUAACGUGCAGCACCAGAUAAAAAUAUAACUAAUCUGCCAGUCUCACCUUGAGCAAGGUGCAAAUUGCUUUUUUGCAUGAGCAGUUAAUGUGGACUUACCUGUAUAUGUGCGAGGCUGAAAUGCCUUUUUAUCUAACUCCAGAAUUUACAUGAUUCUAGUCAGAAACAAAAUGUUAAAGUGAUUAACUAUGUUCUACUUUAUCUUAUUGUCCAUAAAUGAUAGACAUUGUAAUAUUGUUUGUUGAGGCGGUUUGUGUUUGCUAUGUGUUUUUCUGCAGAUCAGACGCUAAAAACCUUAGGACUAAUGAUCUCACUUUCUCAAAAGCAGAAAUAACGUUGAACAGGCACCAGUAAAAUGUAAAAUGAAAAAAACAUAUAUAUUUAGCUAUAAUAUUUAAAUCAUGUAAAAAAAAAAAAAAACAUCUGGAAAGCAUGCUCAGUGUAAGAAACAACGUUGUUCAAUCUGUCUCUGAGCUCUUAGAUAAAUGACAUUGGAGAAACUUAAAUACAGAUGAGGACAAAUUAAAAAAGUCUGAUGUGACUGUUUGGACUUAUUUUGUUGGGGUGCUAUGUAAGCACCGGGUGCCAGGGUUGCCUUUAUGGGCUGCUGGGUCCUUGUACAACCAAAGCAAGAGCUGUGUUUACUUUCUCUGAGCCCAAGACUAGGAUGCGGGUCAAAAUAAAAAGUUAAAUCCUC